CUCCGCGAGCGAGUCCCUCGAGCCGAGCGUUCGGCCGCCAUGUCGGCGCCACGCUGCUGAGGAGCGCCGGUUGGCAGGGCGGCCGAGAUGGUGGGAGUAGGACAGAGACCCAGCGUGGGGCGAUGGCGCCAUCUUGGGAGUGGUAGAGGCGAGAUCCCCAUUUGAUGCAGUCGGGGGAAGGCCUGGGCGCAGAUCAGCUUUUUGGGAGAUGUCGGGGGCGAGUCUCGCGAGUGUAAGACAUUCACACAUCCCAGCGAAAAUGGAUGGAUCCGCCUAGGUCCUCCAUGGGCUUUGGACACUGCCCUGAGUCGCCCCAAAUUGCAGUUUCACUAGAGCAAGGGCAGGAGGCUUUUCUGUCACUUAAGCACUGCCGGGGAGAUGGGGAGCCUCAGCUCGGUCACUGGUGUGUGUCAGAGAAGGCUUGCCGUGGCACCUGCAGAGCCAGUGGAUGACCCUGGACGCCAGCCAGCCCUGCAGUCGUUGGGGCUGCAAUUUGAGAAUUCCUGAGGAUGGGCAGAGUCUGAAGAUGCUGCUGCUUUGGCCCUGAUUCAAGCUGGUGCUGAACAGCUCUGGGCUCAGACCAGAGUUGGUAACGUUUGUAGGGCCUCACCAAGAGUCAGCACUCAAUAGACGUUUCCUAAACUGUAA